rnacentral:lncRNA from 1 species
CCAUAUUCUUCUGCAGGUACCAGUGUAAACGUGACUUCUAAAAUGAAGUACUUCUCCCUCGUGUUUCUGCUUGGACUGCUGGCUGCCAUGCUGGCCAUGACUUCCGCAGUUGAAGACGACAAUGCAGAGGCGCAUCUUCGA